GUUGGCUGUCUCUUGCUUUUUGGUGCCUGUUUGGCCUCUUUGGUUUGAUAGGUGGCUUUUAGCCGAGCAGUCUUCGGGGUUGUUUUCGUUAAAGGUGCAUGAGUGGUUUUUGGUUUGUUUCGGAUGGUUGGAUGUCUGCUUGCGCAGCAACUUCCAUGCGUGCUUACUUCUUCAAUUGUGGUCAAGCCUCUUUUGGCUUGUAGCAUCCGGUGGGUUACCUAUGUUGCAUACCUAGUCGAUGGCAUUGUUUGUCCCUAUAAGUUAGAUUUCGUAACACGUUGCUUGCGGCGUGAUACGAACCAUGAAGCAUGCUCUGUUGUCCAAGCUGUUGUUGCUCAUGCAUCGAUCGAUUGGCCCAUGGAKUGUUGCCUGGUCCCUUAGAUAUGGAACAUUAUGUGGGCACAAGGUCGUCAAUGAUCAUGUAUUUGCCCUUUUUGAGCUGUCUAGCUUCUUUAAAUGACCGUCCACCAUGUAUCGACAUGUCGGUGUAUGGAGGAUUGUGUCAAA
rnacentral:misc_RNA from 1 species